GGCUUCUCUGAUGACGUCACUUGGUUUACAUUUGAACUGGUUUCUGGCUGCUGCCCACACAGGUCAUGAAGUCAUCAGGAAAUGUGAUGUCACCAAGCAAUACAUGUACACUCGCUGGCCACUUUAUUAGAUGGAAAAUUGCAAAUGCAGAUUGUGAGAUGGUUCAGGAGUCCACCGAAGAAGAAGAAUCUGAAACAUGAGAAUACGAAUCCAAUAAUGAGUGAGAACAAGCCUACUAAAAAAAAGAUUUUCCCAUGCUGAAUAAGAUAUACCUGAGAAGGAGUUGGAAGUUUUUUCCAGGGAUGAAAAAUUUACAAUGUGGACAGUUCCCGUACCUGUAAUUUCCAGCUGGGCUGGUGCGUCGUUCUCAAACCAGAGGAAGCACCGUCAGGUGUGAAACUAGUUGUUUGUCUCGGAACCCCUCCACACCUCAUGCCUAUUUCUUUCCAGUUGUACAUCUUGGAAAUAAAAUCUUCACAAUUGCAACUACAGAGGGUGAGUGCGAUUUAUCUACCAGUCUUCUAUCUUACAUUAUUGUCUACAAUUCAUCCAUAAUCUGCACACCCUGGUAUUGCUCAAAUCUUUGAACUGCCUCCCCUGAAUUCAUCUUUCAAGUGUUGCACCUGUAAGCUAUGCCACCAUUUG